GGCGUCCCCUCCCUCCUCGCUCCCUCCUCGGCAAGUGUUCUGCCUGCAACGCCCUGAGCUCUUUUAAGACGACUGAGUGAGGUUCCGCUCACAUUAUCUAGAGGGUGUGGGUACCAGUGACAGCCAGGGACGCAUCGACAAGACGCCUUCGCAGCCGCACCCAGAGUGGAGACGGUUCGGUCACAGGGCGCGACCAGACGGUGAAAGUGACGUUGCAGACGCGACCGCGGCAGGCGCCGGGGUGGCACCCUGAGGGGAGGCUCGUGCAGCCCCCCCGAAGGGAGGAGGAUGGACUCAUGUGUGAUGAUCAGAAGACCACGCUGAUGCUGUUUCCAGUUGAUGACUGCGGGGGAGCCCAGGAAUUCCUGGCUUUGGUCAGGAUCCUUGGAGUAGAUUAGGAGUUGAGCAACUUCCUUCCCCCAUGGCCUUUCACCACGCCGUUUCUGCCAUGAAGCCAGGCAACCAUGGACUGAGCCCUCUGAACUGUGAGCCAGAAUAAACCUUGCUUCCAUUAAGUUGUCAGUGUGCGGUCUUGUGAUCUAGAGACAAGCAGGGCUGCAGCAGGAAGAGCAGCUCACUCAGCUCCUUCACAGAGGCAGGUGUCUCCUGUGUGGACCAGCUCAGAUCCCCCAGCGUGGGGCUGGACUUCCCUUGGCUUCCUGGUGUUCACCAGGGGUGGCCCUGCGCGGAUGGAGGUUGGAGAGGGUCUCAGGACUGAACCCUUUUCCUUCGCAUGCUGUGCCAGGUGCAAGUGGAGUCCUGCUCAUCAGCCUUCUCCUGUUCUGUUCCCUUUCCUUUUCAACCACAGCACCCUGAUCCUCUCCUCCAAGAUGAGAACCCACAUCCCGCACCUAGUCUCUCUGUGAUGCAUUAUUACUGCUCUUCCACUCUUUUAUGUUUUUACCAUAGUCUUAAUCUUGAGAUACAGGUUCACAAGCACUUGCUGGAAAACGAGCUUGUAUUCCCUUUUGUUGUGUCCUUCUACAGCAACAUUUCCCCAAAGCUAGAGUGUAAAACUACAGCGAGGAGAUUGGUACUGAGAGAAGCAGGAUGUGGACUAUUUCCAGCGGCAUGGGGGCCCUGUGUUGUCUCUUUAUGUUUGUUCCCACUCCUUUCAAUCCAAGUGCUCCUUGGCCAUUGGCACCACGUUUGUGUCCUGCUUCCCUGUAACACUGCAACUGCAAGAGUCUUUUACAAACAGAAUCAUGCAGCCUGUAAACUCUUAGGAAUUUUUUCCCACUCAGUGUACUUUUCUGGAGAUUCAUUCAUGUGUUGGAAGCAUCAACAGUUGAUACAUUUUACUGCUCAAUAUUUUUCUAUAAUAUGGAUAUGGUGAAAUUUGACCUUUUACCUUCUGGAAGCUAUCUGAGCUAUUUCCAGCUUUAGCUAUUUUCUAUGAAGCUCUUGUAUAUAUUUAUUUUGGCACUUUUUUAUCAGCUGUGUAUAUUUUUAUGUGAGCAUCACUUUACGGUUUUUGGAGACACUCGCUCAGGGGGUAGUUGCUGGUUGUAUGACCACUGUACAUGUAGCUUUGAGACAAAUCUGCAGCUGUCCUACUCCUCACUCCCGUCCCAGCUUAGAGGUGACCCAGUGUUGAUGCAUUAUUGCCAGCAUUUUGGUCUUGAGCUCCAGCCUUGUUCUAAGCAGGCAGGUGUCCUUGGGGCAGGUGAAUCAAGUAUCUGAAUUAUAUCCGGGCUCCAGCAGUAAGAAGCUGGCCAUGUUAUCCAGUUUCUCUCUGUCUCUGAUCCAUCAUCUGUACCAUCAGGAGAACAGUGCUUCCUUCUCUGAGUGCUUUCAGAUAUAUAUCAGUUCAUCCAUCCCUUUUUACUCGUCCAGUUUCACACACCAGGGAGACAAUACUAUGUUUGCACAUGUGACUCUGAUUUAUUCCACUUAUGAGUAUGGAC